UUAGGUUAAGUUAUUAAGGGCGUAUGGUGGAUGCCUUGGCACUAGGAGCCGAUGAAGGACGUGACUAACUGCGAUAUGCUUCGGGGAGUUGUAAGUAAACUAUGAUCCGGAGAUUUCCGAAUGGGGAAACCUAACAGGUUUUACCGCCUGUUAUCACUAAGUGAAUUCAUAGCUUAGUUGAAGGUAGACGUGGGGAACUGAAACAUCUAAGUACCCACAGGAAGAGAAAGAAAUUCGAUUCCCUCAGUAGCGGCGAGCGAACCGGGAAGAGCCCAAACUAAGAAGCUUGCUUCUUAGGGUUGUAGGACUGAACAUCUGAGUUACCAAGAAAUGAAGUAGUUGAAUAAUCUGGGAAGAUUAGCCAAAGAGAGUGAUAGCCUCGUAAGCGAAACUUUGUUUCCUCAGUUCAGGAUCCUGAGUACGGCGGAACACGUGAAACUCCGUCGGAAUCCGGGAGGACCAUCUCCCAAGGCUAAAUACUACCUAGUGACCGAUAGUGAACCAGUACCGUGAGGGAAAGGUGAAAAGCACCCCGGGAGGGGAGUGAAAUAGUUCCUGAAACCAUAUGCCUACAAGUAGUCAGAGCUCGUUAAUGAGUGAUGGCGUGCCUUUUGUAGAAUGAACCGGCGAGUUACGUUAGCGUGCGAGGUUAAGGAGGAAAGUCCGGAGCCGUAGCGAAAGCGAGUCUGAAUAGGGCGAGAUAGUACGUUGACGUAGACCCGAAACCAGGUGACCUACCCAUGUCCAGGUUGAAGGUGCGGUAAAACGCACUGGAGGACCGAACCCGUGUAUGUUGAAAAAUGCUGGGAUGAGGUGUGGGUAGAGGUGAAAUUCCAAACGAACUUGGAGAUAGCUGGUUCUCUCCGAAAUAGCUUUAGGGCUAGCCUCGGAGUUAAGAAUCGUGGAGGUAGAGCACUGUUUGGACUAGGGGCCCGUCUUGGGUUACUGAAUUCAGAUAAACUCCGAAUGCCACAGAUUUAUAUCCGGGAGUCAGACUGCGAGUGAUAAGAUCCGUAGUCGAAAGGGAAACAGCCCAGACCACCGAUUAAGGUCCCAAAAUAUGUGUUAAGUGGAAAAGGAUGUGGAAUUGCAUAGACAACUAGGAUGUUGGCUUAGAAGCAGCCACCAUUUAAAGAGUGCGUAAUAGCUCACUAGUCGAGUGAUCCUGCGCCGAAAAUGUAACGGGGCUAAACACAUUACCGAAAUCGUGGAUGUACCUUAGGGUACAUGGUAGGAGAGCGUUCUAAGGACGGCGAAGCUAGACCGUAAGGACUGGUGGAGUGCUUAGAAGUGAGAAUGCCGGUAUGAGUAGCGAAAGAUCAGUGAGAAUCUGGUCCACCGUAUGACUAAGGUUUCCUGGGGAAGGCUCGUCCUCCCAGGGUUAGUCGGGACCUAAGCCGAGGCCGAGAGGCGUAGGCGAUGGAUAACAGGUUGAGAUUCCUGUACUGGUUAAACUUGUUUGAACAAUGGAGGGACGCAGGAGGCUAUCGAUGCGUACUGUUGGAUAUGUACGUUCAAGCAA
rnacentral:rRNA from 1 species